CCGCCACCGCCGGCGAUCCCCUUCAGGAGUCGCCGCUGAUCCCCUUCAGGACACCCCUUCGCCGCCGCCGAGAUCUGAAAGGACGCCGAGAUCCCGCGCCUCCUCCUCGUCGGCCUUCACCGCAGGUGAUUGUGGUUCCUCCCGCUGCCCAGUGAUGUUCCGGUGGGUGUAGUUAGUUGAGUUUGAUCCGCUUGGUCUCACCGUCGAUUUCGCAUCUACGCGUACCUCCGCUGAAUUUCGUGUAACUCGCGGGCGGUCCGGGCGAAUUCCUUCAGAUCUUCCUUCACCGAUGCUACAUGCACGACCUCCGCGACCACCCGCCAGCGACGGUCUGAGGUCACCGACGCGGGCCGGCAGGCGACCCAACGAUUCACCGCCGCCGUCGGGUUCGUCUCUCGGGCUGACAUACUGCGGAUCGGAACUCCGUUGGAUCCUCUGUCGUUGGCCCAUAUGCAAUUUUCCAGUCUGUGUUUUCUGCUCCUCUUUGGCGCAAUGUGGAAGAUGUUGGUUUUGAAGGCUAGCAGGGGCAGCCAGUGGUGGAGUAAUCAGUGGUUUAUUAGGUCAUGGAGCCCAAGACCGGAUGCAGCAGAAGAAGCAGCGUCGUUGCCGUGCAUUAAGCAGGUCAACAGAGUCUGUGAGGCGGAAGAUCCAUAGCAUACAGGUGACUCAGUAGGUGCUCAUUUUAUCUUUCUGCUUAUGUUCCAAUUUUAUUGUUCUUUUCCACAUUAGAGUAGAAUGAAUAUUUGUAUUAACAUCUCUUCUUGUAGUUGUAAAUCCUGUGCAUCAGUUGGGGUAAGCUUCUCAAAUGCCUAGCACCAAUUAGGCUUCUAAAAUUGAAGCAUAGACAAAAUUCAGUUAAGCAUCCAAGUUUCUUUUUAAGCGGUACACUAUAUUGCUAACCGAGGGAACUUCUAUUUGUGUUGCUUGUUUUUUCUAGCACUUGAGUGUGUUUGCAGUUUUUCAACCAUCCAUCGUUGAAGCUACAGGAGCCUGGUACCAAUCAUACUACUUGGAGAACCUAAGAAAGUUGUUUAUUCUGUCUCCACUAGAAACCGGAAAUGAGAACACCAUCUCUACGUAACUGAACCAAGUGACUGAAAAUUUAUGUUAUAUGGUACAACCUCACGAGAGAAUUAUUUCUAUACACGUAGAACACAGUUACAUGUAUGCCUUCAAAGUUAUUAGUUAUUUUAAAAGAGAGUUUUGAAAUGUAUAAAUGAGCUUGGCUUUCAACCCGGCAAGGUCUAGAAUUUCUCAGUUUUGUUAACUCAUACACCGUUUUAGUUACCAUAUGUAUAAUUGUGGAUACCUGAUACUCUAAAUGCCCAUUCGGCCAGGUUGAUUUGCAAGGGCUGUGUGGAGCGAACCCUGUUCCUCUAAACCAAGGGGUCCUUAUGGCCCUUUUCCUGCAACUGGCAUGCAACAUAGCCGAUGAGAUAUCCCUGAAGCUUCAAGGGAUACAAAGGAUGUUAUUACUCAACCCACAUGAUUGGGAGUUAUAGAAGGACUUUAUGCCGCACAUUCCUCAGUACAUGGGGUAAAAUGCAGGAACAAUGGGAAAAUAAAAUAUUAACAGAGGUUGCGGUUGGAGAACCUCAGAAUCAUGCUCUUUUCUGAAAUCCAGUUAGCUGGAGUAAUCCCCCUUUGGAAACAUUGAUGGAAACUCAAUAUUAUCCAAGGAACUUUCGUUCCAUAGGCUCUCUCUGUCCCCUCAAGUAAGCAGGUCAUACAUUAGGAUGCUCAAGUUACAGUGGCUUGAUGUAGGCAAGUAACUUUCACACAUUUUCUCUUCCAACCAUCCCAACCCCGCCGAGCUCAUGAUGUUAGGCCCGGGCGUGGGUGCCGGGAGAACCUGACCGUGCCUCGCGCGAAAGACUUCCCCACAUUCGCGUGCCGCCACCAGAGCAGCAAGGCGCACAAAGGAUGGGCGACAUCGGGCUUGCGCCGUGUACAGGGUGUGCAGGAGAGGAGGCAUGGUUCAAGGUCGUCUCUUCUGCCACGUGUAUAUGUAUAUUACCAGCUUGCGCCUCACUGGCCAGUAAUGAUUAUUGGGUUUCUUGUUACGCUUUCAACCUCGGAGAGCGAUUUAUGUUUUAAUUUCUUGGUAGUCAGUAAUGUUGUGACACUAUCUUUUUUGCACCCUUGUGAUUUCUGUGAUGUG